GACGAACGCUGGCGGCGUGCUUAACACAUGCAAGUCGAACGGAAAGGCCCUGCUUUUGUGGGGUGCUCGAGUGGCGAACGGGUGAGUAACACGUGAGUAACCUGCCCUUGACUUUGGGAUAACUUCAGGAAACUGGGGCUAAUACCGGAUAGGAGCUCCUGCUGCAUGGUGGGGGUUGGAAAGUUUCGGCGGUUGGGGAUGGACUCGCGGCUUAUCAGCUUGUUGGUGGGGUAGUGGCUUACCAAGGCUUUGGCGGGUAGCCGGCCUGAGAGGGUGACCGGCCACAUUGGGACUGAGAUACGGCCAAGACUCCGACGGGAGGCAGCAGUGGGGAAUAUGGCACAAUGGGCGGAAGCCUGAGGCAGCAACGCCGCGGGCGGGAUGACGGCCUUCGGGUUGUAAACCGCUUUCGCCUGUGACGAAGCGUGAGUGACGGUAAUGGGUAAAGAAGCACCGGCUAACUACGUG
rnacentral:rRNA from 1 species